GACGAACGCUGGCGGCGUGCCUAACACAUGCAAGUCGAACGGAAAGGCCCUGCUUUUGUGCGGUGCUCGAGUGGCGAACGGGUGAGAAACACGUGAGUAACCUGCCCUUGACUUUGGGAUAACUUCAGGAAACCGGGGCUAAUAUAGGAUAGGAGCUCCUGCUGCAUGGGGGGGGAUGGAGAGUGUCGGCGGUUGUGGAUGGAUGCGGGGCUUAUGAGCUUGUUGGUGGGGUAGUGGCUUACCAAGGUUUUGACGGGUAGGCGGCCUGGGCGGGUGGCCAGGCACAAGGCGCCUGAGAUAGGGACCAGAGUCCAACGGGGGGCAGAGGUGGGGAACCUGACACAACGGGGGGAAGCCUGGGGCGGAGACGCCGGGUGCGGGAAGCCGGCCUUUGGGUUAUAAACAGCUUUCGCCUGAGACGGAGCGGGCGUGACGGUAAUGGGUGAAGAAGCACCGGCUAACUACGUG
rnacentral:rRNA from 1 species